rnacentral:rRNA from 1 species
GACGAACGCUGGCGGCGUGCUUAACACAUGCAAGUCGAGCGGAAAGGCCCUGCUUUUGUGGGGUGCUCGAGUGGCGAACGGGUGAGUAACACGUGAGUAACCUGCCCUUGACUUUGGGAUAACUUCAGGAAACUGGGGCUAAUACCGGAUAGGAGCUCCUGCUGCAUGGUGGGGGUUGGAAAGUUUCGGCGGUUGGGGAUGGACUCGCGGCUUAUCAGCUUGUUGGUGGGGUAGUGGCUUACCAAGGCUUUGACGGGUAGCCGGCCUGAGAGGGUGACCGGCCACAUUGGGACUGAGGUACGGCCCAGACUCCUACGGGAGGCAGCAGUGGAGAAUAUUGCACAAUGGGCGGAAGCCUGAUGCAAAAACGCCGCGUGCGGGAUGACGGCCUUCGGGUUGUAAACCGCUUUCGCCUGUGACGAAGCGUGAGUGACGGUAAUGGGUAAAGAAGCACCGGCUAACUACGUG